AUUGAACGCUGGCGGCAGGCUUAACACAUGCAAGUCGAGCGGGGGAAGGUAGCUUGCUACCGGACCUAGCGGCGGACGGGUGAGUAAUGCUUAGGAAUCUGCCUAUUAGUGGGGGACAACAUCUCGAAAGGGAUGCUAAUACCGCAUACGUCCUACGGGAGAAAGCAGGGGAUCUUCGGACCUUGCGCUAAUAGAUGAGCCUAGGUCGGAUUAGCUAGUUGGUGGGGUAAAGGCCUACCAAGGCGACGAUCUGUAGCGGGUCUGAGGGGAUGAACCGCCACACUGGGACUGAGACACGGCCCAGACUCCUACGGGAGGCAGCAGUGGGGAAUAUUAGACAAUGGGGGGAACCCUGAUCCAGCCAUGCCGCGUGUGUGAAGAAGGCCUUAUGGUUGUAAAGCACUUUAAGCGAGGAGGAGGCUACUCUAGUUAAUACCUAGGGAUAGUGGACGUUACUCGCAGAAUAAGCACCGGCUAACUCUGUGCCAGCAGCCGCAGUAA
rnacentral:rRNA from 1 species